rnacentral:SRP_RNA from 1 species
GCUUGGUGUAGUGGUGCAUGCUUGUAGUUCCAGCUACAACGCUGCGGCUGGAGGAUGGCUUUAGGCCAGGAGUUCCGGGCUGUAAUGCGCUAUGCCGAUCAGGUGUGUACACUCAGUUCAGCAUUGAUGAGGUGACCUCCUGGGAGUGCAGGGCCAGCAGGUUGGGAUGAACUGGCCCAGGUAGAAAUGAAGCAGGUUAGAACUCCCGUGCUGAUCAGUAGUAGGAUCACACCUGUGUAUAGCUAUGGCACUCCAGCCUGGGCAACACAACGAGACCCCAU